rnacentral:rRNA from 1 species
UGGGGGAUAUUGCACAAUGGGCGAAAGCCUGAUGCAGCGACGCCGCGUGGGGGAUGAAGGCCUUCGGGUUGUAAACUUCUUUUGCUCUGAACAAGGCAUGCUAAUGGGUGUGUUGAGUGUAGGGGUUGAUUAGCGCCGGCUAACUACGUGCCAGCAGCCGCGGUAAUACGUAGGGCGCGAGCGUUGUCCGGAAUUAUUGGGCGUAAAGGGCUUGUAGGUGGCUGGUUGCGUCUGUCGUGAAAGCUCAUGGCUUAACUGUGGGUUUGCGGUGGGUACGGGCUGGCUUGAGUGCAGUAGGGGAGGCUGGAAUUCCUGGUGUAGCGGUGGAAUGCGCAGAUAUCGGGAGGAAUACCGGUGGCGAAGGCGGGUCUCUGGGCUGUUACUGACACUGAGGAGCGAAAGCAUGGGGAGCGAACAGG